rnacentral:rRNA from 1 species
GAUGAACGCUGGCGGCGUGCCUAAUACAUGCAAGUCGAGCGAACAGACGAGGAGCUUGCUCCUCUGACGUUAGCGGCGGACGGGUGAGUAACACGUGGAUAACCUACCUAUAAGACUGGGAUAACUUCGGGAAACCGGAGCUAAUACCGGAUAAUAUAUUGAACCGCAUGGUUCAAUAGUGAAAGACGGUUUUGCUGUCACUUAUAGAUGGAUCCGCGCCGCAUUAGCUAGUUGGUAAGGUAACGGCUUACCAAGGCAACGAUGCGUAACCGACCUGAGAGGGUGAUCGGCCACACUGGAACUGAGACACGGUCCAGACUCCUACAGGAGGCAGCAGUAGGGAAUCUUCCGCAAUGGGCGAAAGCCUGACGGAGCAACGCCGCGUGAGUGAUGAAGGUCUUCGGAUCGUAAAACUCUGUUAUUAGGGAAGAACAAAUGUGUAAGUAACUAUGCACGUCUUGACGGUACCUAAUCAGAAAGCCACGGCUAACUACGUG